rnacentral:lncRNA from 1 species
UUUCACUCUACUACGUUUUUCAUUUGUUUAUUUAUUGAUUUAAAACAUAUUUUUUUUUAGCAAGUAACGGGUUGGGGUGUUCUUGUACUUAAUUGAACGUGGUUUUCUCGAACCAGGAAUAAAAAGGUUGUAAGACAAGAAGAUAAGAGUUUCAUUAAACUGCAGGCUAACUGAGUAAAACAAGGGGUUCAACUGAACCACGCUUUGCAAAAAACCUCAGUAAUUAACCUCAUGCAUACAUAUAAAUAUACACAUAUGUUUAUAUAUGAACUCACUCGCAUUUUUACACAUGCAUAGUGUUACAAUUGCCUAGAAAAGGCAUAACACCAAAAC